GAAUGGGGGAUAACUUCCGGAAAGGGGACGUAAUACCGCAUAAACAUCCUGUCUUUGAAGAGAUGGAGAUCAAAGCUGGGGAUCGCAAGACCUGGCGUUUGAAGAGGGGCCCGCGUCCGAUUAGCUAGUUGGUGAGGUAAUGGCUCACCAAGGCAACGAUCGGUAGCCGGCCUGAGAGGGCGGACGGCCACACUGGGACUGAGACACGGCCCAGACUCCUACGGGAGGCAGCAGUGGGGAAUUGUUCGCAAUGGGCGCAAGCCUGACGACGCAACGCCGCGUGGAGGAUGAAGGUCUUCGGAUUGUAAACUCCUGUUGCCCGGGACGAAAUGCUUCGACCUAACACGU
rnacentral:rRNA from 1 species